UACAGAGGUCUCAAGCGUUGUUCGGAAUUACUGGGCGUAAAGGGCUCGUAGGCGGCCAACUAAGUCAGACGUGAAAUCCCUCGGCUUAACCGAGGAACUGCGUCUGAUACUGGAUGGCUAGAGAUUGGGAAAGGGAUGCGGAAUUCCAGGUGUAGCGGUGAAAUGCGUAGAUAUCUGGAGGAACACCGGUGGCGAAGGCGGCAUCCUGGACCAACACUGACGCUGAGGAGCGAAAGCCAGGGGAGCAAACGGG
rnacentral:rRNA from 1 species